rnacentral:rRNA from 1 species
AGAGGGAAUUCCCAGUGUAUNCGGUGAAAUGCGUAGAUAUUGGGAAGAACACCAGUGGCGAAGGCGCUCUACUGGUCCGUAACUGACGCUGAGGGACGAAAGCUAGGGGAGCGAAAGGGAUUAGAUACCCCUGUAGUCCUAGCUGUAAACGAUGGAUACUAGGUGUUGGAUGUAUCGACCCAUUCAGUACCGUAGCCAACGCGAUAAGUAUCCCGCCUGGGGAGUACGCACGCAAGUGUGAAACUCAAAGGAAUUGACGGGGGCCCGCACAAGCGGUGGAGUAUGUGGUUUAAUUCGAUGCAACGCGAAGAACCUUACCAGGGCUUGACAUCCCGCGAACCUUGAUGAAAGUUGAGGGUGCCUUCGGGAGCGCGGAGACAGGUGGUGCAUGGCUGUCGUCAGCUCGUGCCGUGAGAUGUUGGGUUAAGUCCCGCAACGAGCGCAACCCACGUCCUUAGUUGCCAUCAUUAAGUUGGGCACUCUGGGGAGACUGCCGGGGACAACUCGGAGGAAGGUGUGGAUGACGUCAAGUCAUCAUGCCCCUUACGUUCUGGGCUACACACGUACUACAAUGCUUCGGACAAAGGGCAGCGAACCUGCGAGGGUGAGCUAAUCUCAUAAACCGAGGCACAGUUCAGAUUGCAGGCUGCAACUCGCCUGCAUGAAGGAGGAAUCGCUAGUAAUCGCCGGUCAGCAUACGGCGGUGNAUACGUUCCCGGGCCUUGUACACACCGCCCGUCACACCAUGGGAGUUGGCCACGCCCGAAGUCGUUACUCUAACCA